rnacentral:tRNA from 1 species
UCCCUGGUAGCUUGGCUGGUAAAGAAUCUGCCUGCAACGCAGGAGACCCCAGUUCGAUUCUUGGAUCGGGAG